UAAUUUUCAGAAUAUACGUUAUUAAGAUUAACUGGAUGAUUUUUAUAGAUACCGAAAGCUGAUAGAAACGAAUAGAAUGGUUACCUAAAGAUUGUAAUUCUUGGAUUAGUCCAGCUGCUUUAAUCGUUUUUGGACCAUCAGCUACUCCUUCCUUACACUGCGAAUAAAUUCAAUGAAUAAAAAGUUAUUAUAAUGCUGAUUUAUAUCGUACCUGUCCUUUUUCGAAUGUUUGUGAUUGAAUACGAAAUAGUGAUUCCUCAGCGACCUAUGCUCUCGUGUUGCAAUGCAGAUAACAUGCGCGAUUUUCGGCUCAUAAAUACACCGUAAUCAUAAAUAUAUGUUAGGUUAUAAGAGUAAGGUACAGACAUUAUAUCUACUAAACAAAAAUGAAUAUAAAUACCUUAUCAUAACCAAUGUGUGGAUUCAAUGCUGUGACAAGCAUUAAACUUUCGUUCAAGAGUUUCUUGAUAUGGUCAGUAUUAGGUUUAAUGCCCACAACGCAAUUCUU